CCUACGGGAGGCAGCAGUGGGGAAUAUUGCACAAUGGGGGGAACCCUGAUGCAGCGACGCCGCGUGGGUGAAGGAGUAUUUCGGUAUGUAAAGCCCUAUCAGCAGGGAAGAACAAUGACGGUACCUGACUAAGAAGCACCGGCUAAAUAUGUGCCAGCAGCCGCGGUAAUACGUAUGGUGCAAGCGUUAUCCGGAUUUACUGGGUGUAAAGGGAGCGCAGGCGGCGCGUUAAGCCUGGUGUGAAAGUCCGCGGCCCAACCGCGGGACUGCAUUGGGAACUGGCGCGCUGGAGUGCCGGAGGGGUAGGCGGAAUUCCUAGUGUAGCGGUGAAAUGCGUAGAUAUUAGGAGGAACACCAGUGGCGAAGGCGGCCUACUGGACGGUGACUGACGCUGAGGCUCGAAAGCGUGGGGAGCAAACAGGAUUAGAUACCCCAGUAGUC
rnacentral:rRNA from 1 species